rnacentral:rRNA from 1 species
CUACGGGCGGCUCCAGUGAGGAAUAUUGCACAAUGGGGGGAACCCUGAUGCAGCAACGCCGCGUGGAGGAUGACGCAUUUCGGUGUGUAAACUCCUUUUAUAUGUCAAGAAAAUGACGGUAGCAUAUGAAUAAGCACCGGCUAACUCCGUGCCAGCAGCCGCGGUAAUACGGAGGGUGCAAGCGUUACUCGGAAUCACUGGGCGUAAAGGACGCGUAGGCGGGUUGGAAAGUCAGGUGUGAAAUCCUACAGCUUAACUGUAGAACUGCACUUGAAACUUCUAAUUUAGAGUAUGGGAGGGGGGAAUGAAAUUAGUGGUGUAGGGGAAAAACCGUAGGAAACCACUAGGAAACCCAAAAGCGAAGCGGACCCCCGGAACAUUACCUACCCUAAAGCCGUAAAACCUUGGGAGCAAACAGGAUUAGAUACCCUUGUAGUC